rnacentral:lncRNA from 13 species
AGAUAUUCCUCGGUGUGAAAAUCGACGAGGAAGCCAACGUCCAUCGUCGUCGAAAUUUGUUAUUAUGAAAUUAACGAACCGCAGCUGGUUCAUCGCGUCGCGCGUUUGUUCUGGAAGUGCCGUUGAAAGUAAUGGACUUAAUUAGUCCACGGGCGCAAUUUUAUUGUAUUUAACGUGAGUGUUCCGCGAGUGCAACAAGAGGAAAAGACUCGACCUGGAGCUGAGAGGAGGAGAAAGCUUGGGGAGGCAUCGGGCGUCGGUGCACCAAUCUUAUGAUUAAAUUGCAGGAGGGGAAGUAGAGAAGUGAGAGAAGUAUCGGGCUUCAGCAGAGCAACUUUUGGAUUAUUCGGCCUUGUUUAAGUUAUUUUGAGAUUGCGCUUUCAAACAAAGAGAGAGAGAGAGGGAGUGGGUGGAAGGGAGAAAGUGGAGUCUCCGCCCGCAGCGAUCUCAUUGAGAUGCGGCUAGGAUUCAAAGUUUGCGUAAACGUUUAAAAUAGCGUAGCGAGAAGUUUGCACUUGGGCUUAUACCCAAGCACGAAUUACCUUUCGCUAAGAGCUAAUUAAGAGAUGGUUCCAUUCGGCGGCUCGUCGGGGAGCAACUCUAGCGGAAACAAAAUUCACCGACCUAGCAACGUGUCCUGACCCCAGGAUUCGAGACGCGAGGAUGGCGAACCCUCCGUCGUUCCGCGAUAUCUAUAUAUACGCCAGGACCAACCUCGAGUAAUCGUUACGACGUACCGUAGACAGAUAAGAGCAUCGGCUGCUUCCGCCUCAAUUCCCUUUUCCUUCUCCUCACCAUCGUGUCCCUUCGUUUCCCUUAUCCGUAACUCCAAAAAGCAUACAGUUCUACCGGAUUCUCUCUCUCCCUGGAGUCGACUCGGAUCUCUAGAGUAGAUUCCUAAAGCGGCGGACGAUCCUCGAUGAACCGUGACCGCUCAAGAUUCGGUGAAUCUUCGUAUUGGAUAGCGGAGCAGUGGCGAAUUCGAUUCACCGAAUGUGUACGUGAUGUUUAUCCGACUUGACUUUUGGACAGACACACCUUCGUGAAACUACGCUAUCUGAAUGUUUUUUUUUUUUCUGAAAAUUUCUUUUCCUUCCCCGCGGGCGUGUGAUUUAUUUCGAUAACUUCGGAUAACACUUGUUCAAUUAGGGAAGGGAGAGGGAGGAUGUCGUUGCUUUUAAAUAAGCUUUUUGAAAGAAUUUUUAAUUGAAUCUAAAUUAAUGAUGUUCGAUAUUAUAAAAAUAUCGCAAGAGUAUAUGGUAAUUUAGAAAAGAUCACUUGACUGAAAUAUUAACGCGUCAAUUUUUGCUACAAGUUAUGCUGGAUGUAGCAGAUGAUACACUUGAAAAAUUCCUGGCAAGUUUGUUUUCGUGAAACAUUUUAAUGCAAUAAUACACGCAACGCCGAUACUUAUACCGAAAUGUCAUUAGUGAAACCAUCAAACAGCUAUUUCUCGUUUGUUUUACUUUCGCGCGAAUGGAAAGAUAAGUUGUAGCUUGAACGCUUCGUGGCGCACGAAAGAAACGAAACGGUAUGGAAAAGUAGUCGGAAAUCGUAAAGUGCUCGACACCUCGAUCCUCCUGGACAAAUAAGACAGCGCGCAAGAGGAUGAGGCGACGACGAUGACGACGACGACGACGACGACAACGACGGGAGGGGAGCGGCGCGUCGUUGGACGUGAGACAUGUCGGAGUCGACGAGAACUCCGAGAUUCGGUCGUCUUCCAUUCAGCCUGGGGGAACAAGAGAGAAGAGGACAAGCGAAACAGAAAUGGUAAGAGGGAGAGAGGGAGACGGAGACACAUGACGAUGUCGGCUGGGGACGUCAGGGGCCGAGGGUGGCAGCUAAAUAAUAAUUCUCACUUAACUAACUCGGUUAACUAGCUUCGCCGCGGCUAAUAAUAAAGGAGUCGUCGUACGUUGAGCAUCGCCUAGCGGUUUGUCGAGUCUCUGGUGGAGGGAGGAUGAGUGCGAGAGAGAAGAGAGAUGAGGAGAAGAGAGGAGAGAAGAGGAGAAGGAAGGAGAGAGAGAGAGAGAGAGGAUCGUUUUCAGAGGACAAGGGUGGGAGGAGGAACGUUGAGUGUACGGCCGCGAGCGCGUCGAGGUCUGAAGUCAAUUUGUCGGGGAAUGCGUUGGGGCAACACGUGUGGCACUCGCAAGACCCUCGUCUUCUUCGUCCCUCUCUGUUUCGUGCGUCCCACGAUUAAUAUGCUGAAAAACCUCCUUGAAAUCUAGGCGGGACGCAGAGAGUCAUCGUAUGGAGUACCCCGAAAAAGGUAAUUAAGCGUCCGGCAAUUCGGAAACGAUUGGGCCAGACACGCAGUCUCCUUUGGAGAAAAGAGACUCCCUUUUUCGAACGCCGAGUAAAGUGAUUCGUAGAUGUUUCCCGAUGACACGAUGUUCGAGGUUUUGACCAUCGUCAAAAGACAUACGUGUCUUUUGUGGUCCAGAUUCGAGGAUCCGAUCAACCUUUCGGUCGUCGGGGUCGCGUCCGCAGCCAGCCACUACUAAAAAUGCAGUUAAAGAGAUGCAUCUUGUUGUAUUACUACCCAAUUUGAUUAAAUAUAUACGGAAACAUUAAA